ACAGUGAAGCGGAGGCAGAGCGGCUCAGCGAGCUCCUCUCCACUUUCCCAUAGAGAACCCCUGACUGGCCGCUGAGGGCGAGCCACACACACGCCCUCACGCCCCGCGAGCCCGCGAGGUCACUACCAUAUGACAAAGGCUUUGCCGCAGUUCAUCUUCCUCUCUGUGUACUUUCCAUUUGCCUUCUUGGGUAAGUAUGCAAACUCUUCAUACAAGGAAGCUUGAUGGUUAUUAGUAAUGACAUAAGGGUCCUUACUGUUCACAUAAGAUGCCUUAUUGGGGUUGCAGCAGCCCAGAAAGCUUGUCUCACUGAGUUUCCCAUAGCAGAAGUCAAUUUAUAAUUUUUAGUAUUUAGAAUUCACCUGCAAUUAUUAUUAAGAUAGUUUAGAUAUACAUUUUGUAUUUUUCUGCAAGUGUCAUAUGAAAACUUAUUAUUUUAAUUGAUAGUGAAAUUUUACAGAGUUGAAGACUUAGGAAAAUUAAUGCUAAGUAAUAUUGUAGAAAGAUUGCAGGUUAUGAGUGGAGAGAACUAUUAAAAACCCAAGGAAACAUUGCACAGAAGAUCUCUAAAUUGCAGUGGCUGACAUUUGCUUUCUCUUUCCUGGUUGCUCUUUUCUUGGGUAACUAGUGGUGUUUGUGACAGUUACUUGUAGUGGGGAAGGGUGGACUGGGCAGUGUAGUAUAUCUAGCAUUUAGUGUACCAGCAUGACUCAAAAGGCAAAUAACUGUGUCCUAAUUGAUUAUAAUUUUCAUCAAAAUUUAUGUCUUUGGAGAAAUUGAGUACAUUUUAACAAUCUGUAUAUAUAAUAAAUAGCGACUUUGAAAUCUGCUAGUGCCUUUUUCAGAUAUAUGCCCCCCAAAUAGAAAAAUUGGUGAAGUAAAAUAUGGAACAGUAAGUGCCUGAAAAGUUUGUUUGUGAGAAGUAACUGUCAGGUUGAAAACUGAGGGUUUAACAGCAUGGUGAGCCCAAUCUGCAGAAAGCCAGCAUGUAAUUUUGCCCUCAAUUGUAAGAAACAUCUCCCUCAGGUACUCUGAUAUGUUAAGGAAACUGGUUGUACUAAAUUGUGUAAAUCAGCUUUGGUGUUUUGUAAUAUUACCAUAGUGAAGAUAGAGACUGUAUUUUGUGAAUGAAAAUGGACUUGAAUUUUCCAUAACAGAUAUAGAAAAGGGACCUUGUUUGGUUUGUUUCCUGGCUUUCCAGGAUAUUGUGUACAUUACUAAAAGAUUGUGUUCUUAUUGAGAGGAAUUGAGUUGGAAAACAAGGCCUUUCUGGUAGUUUCUGUAUGACAGCAAAAUACACUUUCACAUUGCUGAUAACAUUAGAAGAUAUAUAGUAAAAGCUCUCUAACAUUUUAAUGGGAUGUAAAAUACCGUGUUAUUUCAGAUAGGAGAACCUCUUAAUACGUCACAUGCAAAAUAGGCCAAUCGGAGUGAUGAGAAUGAGAUGGGUCUGUAAGAUGAAAUCAGUGCACACCAAAUAUGAGGAUUUCAGUGUCUGAUUUUUUUUUUUUUUAAAGCUUGUUUACAAGAGAAGUUUUUCAUUUUUGAACAUAUGGCAAGAGUAUUCAAGAUGCAUUCCUGAUUACUAAAGAACACCACAUUUAUACAUGUGAGGCACAUUAUUUUGCUCACUGGAGCAAACUUUUAAUGCUAGUUCUUUCCCCAUGGAAAUAUAUUUGACCAAUUCAAAUUUAAAAAAAGGGAUCAUUUAUUUCCAGAAUAAAAGUGAUCUGAAGAACUCUUGUAUUUCUUUGAGAUAUCACAUAAUUGCUUCAUUAAAACGCUAUUUUAAGAAAAGUCUUGGUCUUUGAAGUCAGAGUAGUUUUUAUAGUGUAAAACUUGAAGUAAUCUGAGGGUUUUUUUUUUUAGCUGCACGCCUGUGGCAUGUGGAAGUUCCCAGGUAAGGGAUUGAACCUGAGCCACAGAGGUGACCAGAGCCACAGCAGUGACAACACUGGAUCCUUAACCCAUUGAGCCACCAGGGAACUCCUAGAUUUGAGGCUUAAUUAUCAAAAUAAGAUUUUAGAGAUAAAGGUUUUGCUUCUACAUUGCCAAGAGUUCUCAAAACUUCCCCUUUUAUUAUUCUGCCUUUCUCUAUUAAGUUCUGAAAUUGAAGUCUUAAUUAGCAUUUCACAUUUAAUACCAGCUAUUGAAAAAGGGUUUCAUCUAUAUUUCUUCGUGCAUAUCUUUGGAGGUGCUGUGGCCGUUUUAGGAAGAAUCUUUUACUAGAGACUUAAAUACUAACAAAAAAUUGCAAUUUUGACACCUUUCUUAUUUUUAAAUCCAUCUUGAUUUUCUUUUCCAAAUUUAAAAUAAAAGUUCCAAGUUAAAGAGCUUGUGGAGUUCCCACUGUGGCACAGUGAGUUAAGAAUCUGACUGCAGUGGCUUGGGUUGCUACGGAGGUGUGGGUUCAAUCCCCAGCCCUGCACAGUGGAUUAAAGGUUCCAGUGUUGCCACAGCUGUGGUUCAGAUUCAGCCCCUGGCCAGGGAACUCUCAUAUGCUGUGGGUGCAGCCAUUAAAAAAGAAAAAAGUUUGUGAGAUAGCUCUGCUUUUAAUAAAUAUCUGGCUCUGCUAUACAUCUUGAAAAGUAUAUGUCACCUUUGACCUUAUAGACCUGAUCUUUAUAUUUAAUCCAUGAAAUGGAGAUUUGUUUAGACAUUGAAUUUAGAACAUAGCUUUGAGUGAAAGCUAGGAUGAACAUAUAAUUAUGGUUUGCUUGUGCUGUAACUAUGUAAUUGAUAAGAUUUUUUGUAUAUAGUUUAAAAGGAAGGAACAACAGCCUUAAAAUAAUGUGGCGCAACACAUGAAAAUCUAACUUAGCAGCUAAAGUAUUUAUAAAGCCAUAUUUUUCAUGAAAUUACAAACAUAAUUUCUAAUUAUUAAUCAUCAGCCAACAUAUUUCACAUUUAUGUUUUCAUAUAUUUCAUAAAGAGCAUGGGUAAAGCAGGGGCUGUAUUUUUAAUGGGAUCUUACCAUGAAUAUCAAUUACUUUCAUAUUAGAAAUCUUUAAUAGAAGUAAUAAAGACUUCACAGCUCAACCUUAUUAAAACUUUUUGAAAAUAGCCUUAUUAUAGAUGUGCAUGUUUUUGCUGUGUUAAAGGAGGGCCUUGAAAUUAUUAGUUUAUUAGAAGAGUGCAGAAAUGUUUAAAAUUGUGAUAUUUAAAUGUUGUAAAGUAUUAAAUAUAAGCAAUUAAUUUUGGCAUAUUACAUCACCGCCAGUGUGGCAUGCCCAUAUUUUAAGAUUUAAACUUAAGCAGGUGCUUAGCUUAAGACACUUUUCUUGAACUUGUAGUUUGAAGUCCACCUUGUUUUUUAACAUUUCAACACCAAGGGCACCUUUUAAAAUAGGUCUGAGUACAAAAUACAGGUAUCUCUUCUGUAUUUUCAGUCAGCUUCCUUCUCGCUGUGAAAUGAAAACAAAACUUUGUGAUUUCACUGCUUCAUUUUUCUCAAAUGCCCCAAGUAAAUCGAAUGCAGGUGGUUCUUGGGCCACAUUUGGAGAAGCAUUACUCUGAAGGUAGUAAGGUCUAAGGCUAAAGACUGAAUGGAUGCUCUUCCAGCUUGAAGAUUCUGUGACUCUAAUUCAAUCAGUGGGUUUGUACUACCUCAAGGGCAGUCAUCACAUACCAUGUCAAACUGUAGAGAUUUCUACAUUUUAAGUAAUAUCUGAGGAAAGCACUUUUUGAGUACAUCUUCACUCAACAUUCGUGUGUUCAUAUUAUCCCUUAGAAGGCAAUUGCACUUCCUUGUAAGGAUAUACCCAGAAAAUGCUCAUGUAUGAAUGGGAACUUUUCAUUUUUUUUUCUUUCAAAGAAAGAAAUAACAUGGGAAUUGAAACAAGUACCAGUUACACAAUGGGAAUGCAAAAGAAGGCAAGCCAGUAAAGAAUCUACCUAAAAGUAUAUAUAAAUAGAAAAUGAAAGACUAAGGGAAUGAAAGACUUAAAAGUAUUAAAUAUAGACCAUGAAGCAUUGACACAACUUCUAAAAUCUAAACUUAAUAAAUUAAAAUAUGUGAGUCAGUUCAAGGAUCUAGCUAGCUAGUGAAAUAACUUCUGAUAGUGAGGAGGUUGUAUAAAAUACAAAGCGAAAAUAAGAAUGAGUUGGAUUUUAUGAAAUCUUAGAAAAAUGAAAAUAUUGUAAAAUAUUGAUUGAAUAAUUAAACCAAUAGUUAAAUAUAGCCCUUGGGUGAAAAGAUCAGGGAAUAAAUCAGAAACUCAUUGAUUGGAAUAACAGAUCCUGAAAAGGACAUAGAAGUUUGGAUAUUUUAUAAAGGGAAUAAUUAAAUAAAAGAUAGUAACUUAUUUCAGAGGACAAGUAAGAAUGAGGAAAAAAGUUGUUUAAAGCAGCUGUAUUUCUCAAAUGUUUUUGAGAUGUAUGGUAAGAAAUACUUUUUUUAAAUUCCAAUUUAGAAUUCCAAUAUAGAAAGCCUGGAACAAAACAGUACUAAGAGUAGUGCCCUCUGAUAUAUUCUAUUCCUCUUUAAUCUUUAUAAAUCGAAUCUGUUCUAAAGUAUUUUAUUAAAAAAAAUACAGGGUAUCAUUUGCUAAAUUCAUUUUGACGUACAGUUUAAAAAACACCAAUUUAGAGUGCUUGCAAAAAAAAUCCAAGUCCUGGAGUUCCUGUCGUGGCUUAGCGGUAACGAAGCUGACUAGUAUUCAUGAGGAUGCGAAUCAAUCACUGGCCUUGCUCAGUGGGUUAAAGGCUCCCUCCGUUGCUGUGAGCUUCGGUGUAGGUUGCAGAUGCAGCUUGGAUCUUGUGUGGCUGUUGUAUAGGCUGGCAGCUCUGAUUCAACCCCCAGCCUGGAAACUUCCAUGUGCUGCAGGCGUGGCCCUAAAA
rnacentral:lncRNA from 1 species